UACGUAGGGUGCAAGCGUUGUCCGGAAUUAUUGGGCGUAAAGGGCGCGUAGGCGGGCCGGAAAGUCUGUGGUGAAAGCCUCCAGCUUAACUGGAGAAGUGCCAUGGAUACUGCCGGUCUGGAGGAGGGUAGGGGCAUCUGGAACGCUGGGUGGAGCGGUGAAAUGCGUUGAGAUCGGAAGGAACGCCGAUGGCGAAAGCAAGGUCCUGGACUCGUCCUGACGCUGAGGCGCGAAAGCCAGGGGAGCGAACGGG
rnacentral:rRNA from 1 species